rnacentral:lncRNA from 1 species
GGCCUAAUAAAGACAGAUUCUAGAAUGUUCACUAGCUGGUAGGAGGGAUAAAAAUGUAAUAGGGUAUAAGUAAGGAUUGCCUAUAAAUAGAAGAUAAAAGAACGGGUAAGGCAUGCAAAAUAUUUAGAAGGAUCUAGGAUUCUGGGGGAGAGUAUUGGGUCUCUCGAAUACCCAACUAUCUUUUACUAUUCAGCAAAAUAGAGAUACAGCGACUCUACAUAGUUGCUGUAAUUCUCAUCUAUUUGAGCUUCUUCAUUAGAGUACUAUUUACAUUUUACAGAAACAUGAUUAUGCUUUCCAAGUGACUUCCUUGUGUUCUGGUUUCUGUCUUCAUUUCUGCACUUGAUUCUGUGAUUGAACAGCAACAGCAGGAUUCAUACCAGGUUUUGCAGCAACUUCAACAGGAUCUUAUCAAAUGUAUCAGAGCAACCAUUCUGGCCUUGGGGUGUUACAUCUGUUGAAGAAAGGAAAUUAGAAGAUCGGGUUAAUAAUUUGGAAAUAAGGAUGGAUGAACUGCAAUCCAAGUUACAGGAAGAUAUGGAGUCCAUAAAAUCUGAAUUUCAUAGGGCCAUGGCAUCAGUGAUGGAGAAAUUGGAUUUAAUGAUGAAGAAAUUGGAUGGACAAGAAGGGGAAAGGAAGAAAAAGGAACUCACAAACAAUCCGGCUGAAAGCACUGCCAAUUCUAAGAUUCCAUAGUGAAGCUGUAAGUAUUCCCCGUAAGGAGUCUGAGAAAGUAGAAAACUGAGGUCGAAUGAAAACGCCAGUGAUUAUUGGAGAUAAUCUGGCCGACUGGUCUUGUGGAGAAGAGAUGAGGUUGAUCUGGAUGAAUCAGGCGGAGAUGGAGACCACAACGAUGAAGAAACAGGAAGAAACUGGGCUUACAAUUAGGGCUGGAGAUCACAUAAAAGAUCCGGUGGGCUUGGCUAUGAAGUUGGACCAAGUGGGAGAAGACUCGAAGGACUUCCUGAAGCAAGCCCAACUCAAUUUUGGCCCAAAUAAAAUAAGACAUAAUUCUAACCACUUAAAUCCAGCUUUUAGCCCACUUAUACACUCAUAUCAAGCCCCUUUUCAUACUCAAUUCACCCACAUAAUCCACCCAACACACCAAAACCAACCCAAAAUCAGCAGCAACCAUAGUCCAAUGACUGACAGUCACAAAGGGUGCUCCUCCAUUUAAGAGACUCAUCGACGUCAAGCUUCAUCUCAAGAUGGGAACAAGCUAGUGUUAUCGAUGUGAUGUAACAUACAACCCAGGUCAUAGGUGUCGAAAUAAAGAGUUGAGGAUUUUGGUGGUACAAGAGGAAGAAGGUGAUGUUCCAUGGAACGUUCAAGAAGGCGAUGAAGAGACGGAGUAGGUGAAUUAGGGAUGAUAUCACUCAAUUAUGUGGGACGACUAACCACACCAAAAACCAUGAAGAUUAGGGGUUUGAUUUUGGGGCAGUCAGUAUUAGUCUUGAUUGAUUGUGGAGCUACACCUAACUUCAUUUCAGCAAAGUGGGUUGGUGAAUUGAUGCUGCAGACCACAGAAACUACUAGCUACAAGCUUUACAUGUCCAAAUUAGAUUCACCAGCUGCAGCCAUUAGAUCUACUGUUGCAGCAGAGAAGAAUCCUUACCAGCAGCUAUACGGAUCAGCAGCAAUGUUCAAAUCGAUUAGAACUUCACCAGCAAACCCGGUUCCUAGCUGCUUUUUCUACGGAAGUGUAUGAACAAGGACUAUUGCUAGAGGAGAAGACGACAACGGAGAAGAAAGGGAAAGAGAAUGGGCUGGAAUUGAUGGCUGAAUUUCAGAUAAAAAAAUAUAUGGGCUUGGUUUUGGAAUAGGCCCAACCAGGGGAAGGCAGCAGUGAGGUUGUGAAACAAGCCCAACUAAAGUUCGGCCCAAAUGGAAGUAAACUUAAUAGGCUCAACCUACCAGUAAGUUACAGCCUCCAAUUUUCUUAUUGUCAAAUACAAGGGGGCAUGUGUAAAAAAACUGGAGAAAAUGCUUGCUCCGCCUAUUGCAUAUGCAAAGUCUCUGUUGCAAAAAUCUGACAUCUCUAAAGAAUUUAGAAUAAUAUAUAUAAUUUUGAAAAUAAUAAGUGAGUAGGUCCGUCCACUUCGAAAGGUUGAAAAGCCCAUUCUCCGUGGUGACCAUGACCGGAGUUCUUGCAAGGAAAAUGGGGUGGUUGCAUGAUUAAUUGACCAAGACAGCAACAAUUCCCACCUUGCGGACAAGAUGGAUUUCAAGGCGGCGGGUAAUGACAAAGCCUAAUAAAAAUAGAUUCUAGAAUGUUCACUAGUAAGUUGGUAGGAGGGAUAAAAAUGUAAUAAGCCAUAGUAAGGAUUGCCUAUAAAUAGAAGAGAAAAGAAUGGGAAAGGCAUGCAAAAUAUUGAGAAUGAUCUAGGAUUCUAGGGGAGAGUAUUGGGUCUCCCGAAUACCCAACUAUCUUUUACUAUUUAACAAAAUAGAGAUACAGAGAGUUUACAUAGUUGCUGCAAUUCUCAUCUGUUAGAGCUUCUUCAUUAGAGUACUAUUUACAUAUUACAGAAAUACAAUUACGCUUUCCAAGUGACUCCUUGUGUUUUGGUUUCUGUCUUCAUUUCUGCACUUGAUUCUGUGAUUGAACAGCAACAGCAGGAUUCAUACCAAGUUCUGCAGCAACUUCAACAGGAUCUUAUCAGUAUCGUCCUUGCCACUAAAGGCUAUAUGUCCAAAAGGCGAAGCAGCAAGAGCUUGGGGAGGAAUCGAGACAGAUUUACCCCACCC